CACGUAGGAGGCGAGCGUUGUCCGGAAUCAUUGGGCGUAAAGAGCGCGCAGGCGGCUUGGCAAGUCGGGUGUGAAAUCCCCAGGCUUAACCUGGGAACUGCAUCCGAUACUGGAUGGCUUGAAUUCGGGAGAGGGAUGCAGAAUUCCAGGUGUAGCGGUGAAAUGCGUAGAUAUCGUAAGGAAGACCAGUGGCGAAGGCGGGUCUCUGGACAGUUCCUGACGCUGAGGCACGAAGGUCAGGGGAGCAAACGGG
rnacentral:rRNA from 1 species